UACGGAGGGUGCGAGCGUUGUCCGGAAUCAUUGGGCGUAAAGGGCGCGUAGGUGGCCCGGUCAGUCUUUGGUGAAAGCGCGGGGCUCAACCCUGCGUCGGCCAGGGAUACUGCCGCGGCUCGAGCACUGUAGAGGCAGGCGGAAUUCCGGGUGUAGCGGUGGAAUGCGUAGAGAUCCGGAAGAACACCGGUGGCGAAGGCGGUUCUCUGGGACGGUACUGACGCUGAGACGCGAAAGCGUGGGGAGCGAACAGG
rnacentral:rRNA from 1 species